GGAGGGUACAGCUCAGUGGUAGGGCACAUGCCUAGCAUGCACCAGGUCCUGGGUUCAAUUCCCAGACCCUCCA
rfam:Camelus ferus unplaced genomic scaffold scaffold1050, whole genome shotgun sequence.